rnacentral:rRNA from 1 species
AUUGAACGCUGGCGGCAGGCCUAACACAUGCAAGUCGAACGGUAACAGGAAACAGCUUGCUGUUUCGCUGACGAGUGGCGGACGGGUGAGUAAUGUCUGGGAAACUGCCUGAUGGAGGGGGAUAACUACUGGAAACGGUAGCUAAUACCGCAUAACGUCGCAAGACCAAAGAGGGGGACCUUCGGGCCUCUUGCCAUCGGAUGUGCCCAGAUGGGAUUAGCUUGUUGGUGGGGUAACGGCUCACCAAGGCGACGAUCCCUAGCUGGUCUGAGAGGAUGACCAGCCACACUGGAACUGAGACACGGUCCAGACUCCUACGGGAGGCAGCAGUGGGGAAUAUUGCACAAUGGGCGCAAGCCUGAUGCAGCCAUGCCGCGUGUAUGAAGAAGGCCUUCGGGUUGUAAAGUACUUUCAGCGGGGAGGAAGGGAGUAAAGUUAAUACCUUUGCUCAUAGACGUUACCCGCAGAAGAAGCACCGGCUAACUCCGUGCCAGUAGCCGCGGUAAUACGGAGGGUGCAAGCGUUAAUCGGAAUUACUGGGCG